UUCCGGUUGAUCCCGCCGGAGGCCACCGCUAUUGGAGUACGCUUAAGCCAUGCGAGUCGAGAGGGGUAAAGCCCUCGGUGGACGUCCCAGUAACACGUGGGUAAUCUGCCCUCAGGUGGGGGAUAAUCUCGGGAAACUGAGGCUAAUACCCCAUAGAUCUGUUCUGCUGGAAUGCUUACAGAUUAAAAGCUACGGCGCCUGAGGAUGAGCCUGCGGGCUAUCAGGUUGUAGUGAGGGUAACGGCCUCACUAGCCGACGACGGAUACGGGCGUUGAGAGACGGUGCCCGGAGUUGGACUCUGAGACACGAGUCCAGGCCCUACGGGGCGCAGCAGGCGCGAAAACUUCGCAAUGCGGGAAACCGUGACGAGGGAACUCCAAGUGCUGUCACACAGUGGCAGCUGUUCAUCUGUCUAAAAAACAGGUGAAGUAAGGGCUGGGUAAGACUGGUGCCAGCCGCCGCGGUAAUACCAGCAGCCCGAGUGGUGGUCGCUUUUAUUGGGCCUAAAGCGUCCGUAGCCUGUCCAGUAAACCCUUGGGUAAAUCGUGAAGCUUAACUUUACGAAUUCCGAGGAGACUGCUGGACUUGGGACCGGGAGAGGUCGGAGGUACUCUGGGGGUAGGGGUGAAAUCCAAUAAUCCUCAGGGGACCACCAGUGGCGAAGGCGUCCGACUAGAACGGAUCCGACGGUGAGGGACGAAGCCCUGGGGCACAAACCGGAUUAGAUACCCGGGUAGUCCAGGGUGUAAACGCUGCGGGCUUGGUGUUGGGGGUCCUACGAGGGCGUCCAGUGCCGGAGAGAAGUUGUUAAGCCCGCCGCCUGGGGAGUACGGUCGCAAGACUGAAACUUAAAGGAAUUGGCGGGGGAGCACCGCAACGGGUGGAGCGUGCGGUUUAAUUGGAUUCAACGCCGGG
rnacentral:rRNA from 1 species